rnacentral:tRNA from 1 species
GGAAAUGUAGCAAAGAUGGUCAAUGCAGCGGACUGAAAAUCCGAUGAUGCAGGUUCGAGUCCUGCCGUUUCCACAAAGG